UGCCAUUGAGAUGAGAAGAGAAAAGAUAAGGUAACAACAGCGUCCACCUUCCUUCGCCAUUCGCGUUCUUCGCCGUUCACCUUCCUUUGCCGUUUGCGUUCGCAUUCCCAUUCGCGUUCGUGUAGAAGCCACUUUGCUCUGCUUCAAACUCUGCGGCGGAACUGCCCUCCUUCGUUGCCGAUAUUAUGAUAGAAUUAUUAAAAACAUUGAGAGGGGAGGCUAGAAUUUUACGUAAAGAUGAAAUCAAGAAAGCUAUUGGGAAGAGGUUGGAUUGAUACAAGAAUUCAUGCCUAGAGUUAAAGACAUAGUAUGGACAAAAACAAAGAGAAGUUACACAAGGAAGAAUGUAACAGUUUCAUGAUAUGAGGAGUUAAGUAAAUUUUCUUGUGAAUUAUCAAGAGGUCAAUUGCCAUCCGAUUUUUUUAAUGAGGUAAGAUAAGAAUAUACAUUAUACUUAACUUUAUGGACUUACAUACUUAAUUUUCAUUAUCACUAACUUCUUCUAAAAUGGUUGUAGUUUGUAAUCAUAAUCUCUUAAUACUUGUUGAUUUGUUAAGUAUCCUAAAAUAUUCUCUAAAAUAUUUUUUUUUUAUAUUCUCUAAUAAGACCAUCUUCUACGAGUCAUGAACCUCAACAACAUAGAUCAUCCAACAUUUAAAGGAGUUUUACGCAUUGUUAGCUUUACAUGUUUGGAUUAAGUUGAGAUUUUUUGAAUUUACAUGUUAUAGAUUAUGAUUAUGUAAAACUUAGAUUUCAACUUUUGGAAUUAUUUUUGUAAAACUUGUGGA